rnacentral:rRNA from 1 species
UACGGAGGGUGCGAGCGUUGUCCGGAAUCAUUGGGCGUAAAGGGCGCGUAGGUGGCCCGGUCAGUCUUUGGUGAAAGCGCGGGGCUCAACCCUGCGUCGGCCAGGGAUACUGCCGCGGCUCGAGCACUGUAGAGGCAGGCGGAAUUCCGGGUGUAGCGGUGGAAUGCGUAGAGAUCCGGAGGAACACCAGAGGCGAAGGCGGCCUACUGGGCUGCACCUGACGCUGAGCCGCGAAAGCCAGGGGAGCGAACGGA